rnacentral:rRNA from 1 species
CCCCUACGGGAGGCAGCAGUGGGGAAUAUUGCACAAUGGGGGAAACCCUGAUGCAGCGACGCCGCGUGGGCGACGAAGCGCUCCGGCGCGUAAAGCCCUGUCCGCAGGGAAGAAAAAAGACAGUACCUGACCAAGAAGCCCCGGCUAACUACGUGCCAGCAGCCGCGGUAAUACGUAGGGGGCAAGCGUUAUCCGGAAUCACUGGGUGUAAAGGGAGCGUAGACGGCUGUGCAAGCCUGAAGUGAAAGGCGGGGGCCCAACCCCUGGACUGCCUUGGGAACUGUACGGCUGGAGUGCAGGAGAGG